rnacentral:rRNA from 1 species
AGUUACAAAGGACGACAUUAGACGAAUCAUCUGGAAAGAUGAAUCAAAGAAGGUAAUAAUCCUGUAGUCGAAAAUGUUGUCUCUCUUGAGUGGAUCCUGAGUACGACGGAGCACGUGAAAUUCCGUCGGAAUCUGGGAGGACCAUCUCCUAAGGCUAAAUACUCUCUAGUGACCGAUAGUGAACCAGUACCGUGAGGGAAAGGUGAAAAGCACCCCGGAAGGGGAGUGAAAUAGAACCUGAAACCGUGUGCUUACAAGUAGUCAGAGCCCGUUAAUGGGUGAUGGCGUGCCUUUUGUAGAAUGAACCGGCGAGUUACGAUUUGAUGCAAGGUUAAGCAGUAAAUGUGGAGCCGUAGCGAAAGCGAGUCUGAAUAGGGCGUUUAGUAUUUGGUCGUAGACCCGAAACCAGGUGAUCUACCCUUGGUCAGGUUGAAGUUCAGGUAACACUGAAUGGAGGACCGAACCGACUUACGUUGAAAAGUGAGCGGAUGAACUGAGGGUAGCGGAGAAAUUCCAAUCGAACCUGGAGAUAGCUGGUUCUCUCCGAAAUAGCUUUAGGGCUAGCCUCAAGUGAUGAUUAUUGGAGGUAGAGCACUGUUUGGACGAGGGGCCCCUCUCGGGUUACCGAAUUCAGACAAACUCCGAAUGCCAAUUAAUUUAACUUGGGAGUCAGAACAUGGGUGAUAAGGUCCGUGUUCGAAAGGGAAACAGCCCAGACCACCAGCUAAGGUCCCAAAAUAUAUGUUAAGUGGAAAAGGAUGUGGCGUUGCCCAGACAACUAGGAUGUUGGCUUAGAAGCAGCCAUCAUUUAAAGAGUGCGUAAUAGCUCACUAGUCGAGUGACACUGCGCCGAAAAUGUACCGGGGCUAAACAUAUUACCGAAGCUGUGGAUUGUCCUUUGGACAAUGGUAGGAGAGCGUUCUAAGGGCGUUGAAGCAUGAUCGUAAGGACAUGUGGAGCGCUUAGAAGUGAGAAUGCCGGUGUGAGUAGCGAAAGACGGGUGAGAAUCCCGUCCACCGAUUGACUAAGGUUUCCAGAGGAAGGCUCGUCCGCUCUGGGUUAGUCGGGUCCUAAGCUGAGGCCGACAGGCGUAGGCGAUGGAUAACAGGUUGAUAUUCCUGUACCACCUAUAAUCGUUUUAAUCGAUGGGGGGACGCAGUAGGAUAGGCGAAGCGUGCGAUUGGAUUGCACGUCUAAGCAGUAAGGCUGAGUAUUAGGCAAAUCCGGUACUCGUUAAGGCUGAGCUGUGAUGGGGAGAAGACAUUGUGUCUUCGAGUCGUUGAUUUCACACUGCCGAGAAAAGCCUCUAGAUAGAAAAUAGGUGCCCGUACCGCAAACCGACACAGGUAGUCAAGAUGAGAAUUCUAAGGUGAGCGAGCGAACUCUCGUUAAGGAACUCGGCAAAAUGACCCCGUAACUUCGGGAGAAGGGGUGCUCUUUAGGGUUAACGCCCAGAAGAGCCGCAGUGAAUAGGCCCAAGCGACUGUUUAUCAAAAACACAGGUCUCUGCUAAACCGUAAGGUGAUGUAUAGGGGCUGACGCCUGCCCGGUGCUGGAAGGUUAAGAGGAGUGGUUAGCUUCUGCGAAGCUACGAAUCGAAGCCCCAGUAAACGGCGGCCGUAACUAUAACGGUCCUAAGGUAGCGAAAUUCCUUGUCGGGUAAGUUCCGACCCGCACGAAAGGCGUAACGAUUUGGGCACUGUCUCAACGAGAGACUCGGUGAAAUCAUAGUACCUGUGAAGAUGCAGGUUACCCGCGACAGGACGGAAAGACCCCGUGGAGCUUUACUGUAGCCUGAUAUUGAAAUUCGGCACAGCUUGUACAGGAUAGGUAGGAGCCUUUGAAACGUGAGCGCUAGCUUACGUGGAGGCGCUGGUGGG